rnacentral:rRNA from 1 species
UACGGAGGGGGCUAGCGUUGUUCGGAAUUACUGGGCGUAAAGCGCGCGUAGGCGGACCUGCAAGUCGGGGGUGAAAGCCCGAGGCUCAACCUCGGAACUGCCUUCGAAACUAGGUAGCUAGAAUCUUGGAGAGGUCAGUGGAAUUCCGAGUGUAGAGGUGAAAUUCGUAGAUAUUCGGAAGAACACCAGUGGCGAAGGCGACUGACUGGACAAGUAUUGACGCUGAGGUGCGAAAGCGUGGGGAGCAAACAGG